rnacentral:rRNA from 1 species
UACAGAGGGUGCGAGCGUUAAUCGGAAUUACUGGGCGUAAAGCGUGCGUAGACGGUUAUUUAAGUCGGGUGUGAAAGCCCCGGGCUCAACCUGGGAAUUGCAUUCGAGACUGAAUAGCUAGGGUACGGUAGAGGGAAGUGGAAUUUCCGGUGUAGCGGUGAAAUGCGCAGAUAUCAGGAGGAACACCGGUGGCGAAGGCGGGUCUCUGGGCAAUAACUGACGCUGAGGAGCGAAAGCGUGGGGAGCGAACAGG